rnacentral:rRNA from 1 species
AGGAUGAACGCUGGCGGCGUGCUUAACACAUGCAAGUCGAACGAUGAAGCGGAGCUUGCUCUGUGGAUUAGUGGCGAACGGGUGAGUAACACGUGAGUAACCUGCCCUUGACUCUGGGAUAAGCACUGGAAACGGUGUCUAAUACCGGAUACGAGCUUCAGCCGCAUGGCUAGGAGUUGGAAAGAAUUUCGGUCAAGGAUGGACUCGCGGCCUAUCAGGUAGUUGGUGAGGUAAUGGCCCACCAAGCCUACGACGGGUAGCCGGCCUGAGAGGGUGACCGGCCACACUGGGACUGAGACACGGCCCAGACUCCUACGGGAGGCAGCAGUGGGGAAUAUUGCACAAUGGGCGCAAGCCUGAUGCAGCAACGCCGCGUGAGGGACGACGGCCUUCGGGUUGUAAACCUCUUUAGUAGGGAAGAAGCGAAAGUGACGGUACCUGCAGAAAAGCACCGGCUAACUACGUGCCAGCAGCCGCGGU